rnacentral:piRNA from 1 species
UAUUAUACCCGGCUGGGGACCCGAA